GAACGCUUUCUCCCUCUUCUUUCCCUCUCUACUGUUUUUUCUCUCGGUGUGUUUGCUCCAGCUAUGGCGAGAGGGAGGGGACGCCCCCGGAAACAAGUGGCUCAGAAGCGUUGUCCGUCCUCUUCUUCCUCUAAAGGGUCGGUGAGUUCGGCCUCUGCAUCUACUCAGCAAACUACGGUGGUUUCAAGCCCGAUUUUGGAGAAUAAGGUGUUGAGUCCCCGUUCGUCUUUGGUGCAUUUCCAAUCGCAUAACCUCUAUGCAACCUGGGCUGCGGCGAUGAAUGGAGGUUUAUCUAGCAGCCCCUCUGGUCCAGGAGCUGGUGGUGCGGUGGUUACUAAUGAUCCAGUCCCUCAGAGUUCUAUUGUUCCAUUGGAGGCUGCUUUAAGGAAUGCUUCAAUGGUGGGUUCUCAACAGCUUACUGCUUUGGUGACUCGAUCUCCCAGUGCUAUGAUGAAUCCAAAUCCCGUUGUUGCGGUGAAUCGAAGCCCAGAUGUUGUGGAGAUGUCUGGUUCUAGGGUUUCUGGUUCGAUGCUUAAUCCAAUCAACAAGAAUCCUUUACACAAUCCUGGUGCUACUGUUCUCCCACAUAAACAAGAAUCAGGUACUCCCCUUGCUCCACCUGCACCUAUUAAGAUCUCUUAUAAAGAUGUGGUUGAUGAAAUUAAAUUUUGGGAGACAUCUGUUAUUUGUGAUGUGCUUGGUGCAAACCCUCCUUAACAUGUGAUUGAAGGUUUUGUUAAACGUAUAUGGAAUCCUUUGGAAAUUGAUAAGGUUGGGACUGUUGCCUAAGGGGUCUUUCUUGUACGUCUGAAAUCUCAUGAGGCUCUUACAAUUGCUUGUGACUCUAAUGGAAUAUUAUUUGAUAAAAAGCCUUUUAUUGUGAAGCCAUGGUCUAAGAAUGAUUCUUAUGAGAAGGAGAAUAUUACUACUAUCCCUGUUUGGGUGAGAUUUCCUAGUUUGAGUAUGCAUUACUGGGGUGACCGUUGCUUGAGUAUGAUUGCGAGAAUGUUGGGUAAAGUCAUACGUAUUCAUAAUGUGACCCAUAAUAAAGAUCGAAUGCAAUUUGCUAGAGUUUUGGUGGAAUUGAACAUUAAGGAGGGCUUUCAUGACAUGUUAUCUUUUACCAAUGAGGAUGAUGAGUUGAUGACUGUGUCUGUUCAAUAUGAUUGGAAACCACAACUGUGCUGCAAGUGUAUUCAGCUGGGGCCAUGCAAAGGAGGCUUGUCGUAUGGGAAUUGUGAGGCAAUGGGUCCCUAAACGUGUGGCACCUCUUCUUCUUCUUCUUCUUCGGUUCCUAUUGUUGAUGAUGAUGGUUUCCAAACUGUUCCUACAAAGACGUUUGUUCCUAGUGUUCCACCGGAAUCCAUUAUAGCUGCUACCUUUCUAGUACAAGUAAUGGGUUAGAGAUUUUGGAGAAUGUUACGGCGGUGACUACUACGUCCCAUGAUGAUCUUAUAGGGCUGGGAGCUAUAUCCCAUCCUCCUAAUGCAUAACAUCCUUUCUUGGAAUAUAAGGGGGCUAAAUCUCGCUAGGAAACGAUUGGGGGUGAUUAAGUUUAUCUCUGACAAUAAUAUUAGCUUGUUUGGCCUCCUUGAGACUAAGAUCAAGCGCUCUGGGUCCUUCUUGGUGUUUAACCAAUAAUCUUUCGUAUCAUAUACAUGGUAGGAUUCUUGUGGGUUGGAACCCUGCUCAUUUGAAGGUUGAUGUUCUUUUCUGUAGUAGUCAACUCAUCCAUUUGGCUGCUACUCUUGAUCGUGGUAGUUCGUUCUUCUGUUCCUUUGUUUAUGGUUUUAAUGACAAAAAUGGCAGAUUAGCUAUGUUUCAACAGUUGGCUGAUUUAUUGUGUGCUGGUCCUUGGAUUGUUUUAGGGGAUUUUAACUGCUUAGCUAAUCUCAAUGAAAGACAAGACAACUUGUCCAGUUACAUGAGAUUCAACCUCUUUGACAUUGUUUGUCUUUGUGUAGUCUGCAUGAUACGAAUAGUAAUGGUCGUUUCUUUACUUGGAAUAAUAAACAGGCUGGCUCCAAAUGGGUGUUCAGUAAGAUUGAUAGAGCUUUGUGUAAUACCCUGUGGGAGGAUGCUUAUCCUCAUGUUGAGGAUGUUUGGCGUACACAUGUCCCUGGCCACUUGAGCUAUCAAAUUCAGCAAAAAUUGAAUGUUUUGAAGCAUAGUCUGAGGAAACAUUUCCAUCACACACCCCUCCAGAAAACUCUCCAUCAGGUUGAAGCAGAGUUUGUUGAUAUUCAAGAGAAAAUUCAUGGGGAUCCUGGUAACACUGCUCUGGUUAAUAGGGAGAUUGAUUGUGCUCAUAGACUAAAAGUAAUUAAAUCGGAACUCACUUCCCUGUUGCAACAAAGAGCUAAGGUGAAUUGGCUAAAGUAUAGAGAUGAUAACACCGCGUUCUUUCAUAAUAGCAUCAAACAUAGAUCAUCCCAUAACAAGAUUAACACACUUGUGAUUGAUGGGAUUACUGUAAGUAAUCCUAUUUCUAUUAAACAGGCUUUUCUGUCAUUUUACUCUGACACUGGUCCUAUACUGUCAAUUAGUAUGCACUCUUGUUUGAAUCUGUCCUUUAGUGCAGAGGAAAUUAAAGAUGCCAUGUGGAGUAUUGAUGAUAAUAAAGCCCCUGGUAUUGAUGGUUAUAAUAGUAAAUUUUAUAAAGCUGCUUGGCAUAUUAUUGGUAAGGACAUUGUAGAGGCUAUUCAACUAUUUUUUAGUAAUGGCCAGCUUCUAAAGAAUUGCAGUGUUACUGCUAUCACUUUGAUUCCUCAAGUUCCAUGUCCUUCUAGCCCAGGGGAUUAUAGACCUAUUUCUUGCUGCUAUGUGAUUUAUAAGUGUAUUUCUAAGCUUGUGUGUAUGCAGCCUAAGAAGGUGCUUGGGGGGAUCAUUAGCCAAUCACAGAGGCUUUUGUAGCUAGGAGAAGUAUUGCUCAUAAUAUUCUUCUUUGCCAGGACUUGGUUAAACACUACACUAGGAAGAGUUGUUCUCCUAGUUGCCUUAUAAAAGUGGAUCUUCAAAAAGCUUAUGACACUCUUGAUUGGAAUUUUAUACAUGACAUACUUGUGGCUCUUAUCUUUCCCUAUCAUUUCAUCAAAAUUGUUAUGACCUGCAUCUCCACCACAAGUUAUACUUUAUUGGUGAAUGGUGAGCCUUUUGAGAUUUUCCACCCUAAACGCGGCCUUCGACAAGGGGACCCUAUGUCUCCUCUCUUAUUUGUUAUAGGGAUGGAAUAUUUAUCAAGAAUGUUGAAUGUUGUGAGUUAAGUUGAUUCUUUCCAUUUCCAUCCUCGAUGUAAGCGGUUGAAACUGAACCAUUUGUGUUUUGCUGAUGAUCUUAUGCUUUUUUCCAAGGGAGAAGAAGGUUCAAUCCAACUUCUUUGUCAGUGUUUGGAUAAAUUUGCUAUGUUUUCUGGUUUGUAUACUAAUCAUCCUAAAUCAGCUAUCUAUUUAGCUGGUGUUCCCCUUCCUGGGAAAGUUCAGCUUGCUGCACGGAUGAAUCUGCCACUUGGUACGCUUCCUUCACAGCAAAAAAAAUCUCUGUCGCUGAUUGUGAUGUUUUGAUUGAUAAAAUGACGGCUCGUUUGAGACUUUGGUAUUGUUAGAAUCUAUCCUAUGCUGCUAGAUUAUAAUUCAUCACUUCAGUGUUGAUGGGGAUGACUUCCUAUUGGUGCUAGCUGUUCAUUCUUCCACGUGAUAUCAUCAAGAAGGUCAAUAUUAUUUGUAGAGCUUACUCAUAGCAAGGAGAUAUUAAUAAUAGCUUUAAGGGUAAUGUUGAUUGGAAUUUGGUUUGUCGACCUAAAAAAUGUGGUGGUCUGGGUGUUAGAAAUCUUGAUGCCUGGAACACAGUAGUUGUGGGUAAAUUGUCUUGGCAUAUCAGCUCUAUGCAGGAAUCCUUAUGGGUGCGGUGGAUCCAUGGUGUAUAUACGAAAGGUACGAACUGGAUGAUCUUUAACCCCCCUAUUACUGCUAGUUGGUCUUUGAAAAAGAUUUGUGCUAUGAGAGAUAAACUGAGCACUUGGAUGUUACAGGAGAAAUAUGUGAUUAAUGAGAUUUAUCAUCUUUAUGUUGUGCCCAAUCCUAGAGUGAAAUAGGACAAGUUUGUUUGGAAUAGGCUCUCUAUUUCCAUAGCACGUUUUAUCUUAUGGCUCAUCAUGUGUAGGAAGCUUAAAACCCGUGAUUAAGCUUCACCGUAUAGGGGUAGUUACCGAUGCUACUUGCCCCAUGUGCAGUUUAUGCUAUGAAUCUGUGGAACACAUCUUUUUUCAAUGCCCUUAUAGCCAACAAUGUCUUCAAUGCUUGCAGAAGUGGCUGGGAGUACAUCUUCCAAUAGAUUUUCAUAAGCUUGCUCGCAAGAAUCGGAGAACCUCAAAGUACAAGAAGGCCUUCAUCAUCACAUGUAUUUGUAGCCUAGCUUAUUUGAUAUGGAAGGCGAGAAAUGAUUCAAUCUGGCGUCUUAGUAUGAGUACAGUUGAUUGUCUUAUGAAGCAGCUUAUCUAUGAUGUGAAGAUUAGCUUUUCUAGUCUUUUUCCUUUGGAAAGUUGUAAAACCUGGUUUAUAGAGCUUUUUGUUGAGUAGGCUUUGUAUAGAUGCUCUUUUGAGUCUCUUCUCACCUUUAUGCAUAUGAAGAGUAAAGUGGUUCAACCGUUCCUAAAAGGUGGGUUCUACUUUCAUACUGAUGCAAUUUUCUAAAGGUGUGUAAGUUGUCUCUGAUUGUAUUGUUUGUCUUUGUUUGGAUUAAUGGAAAUUUCUCUUUGUCCAAAAAAAAUAAUACAAAAUGUAAAAUAACAAAAAAAAAAAAAA